rnacentral:lncRNA from 1 species
UCUAGGUGCAUUAGGCCUACGCGCGCGGCAGGCUAGGCCUGUGCACUUGGUAGGCUAGGCUUACGGUGCAUGGCAGGUUGGGGCAAUGGGCGCUGCCUCGGGCAGUGCUCAACAUCCCCUUGGGCGCUGUGCGUUGUCGGUUGGGUGGUGUGCUUUCAAUUUUUGUGCCACCAUCAUGUUGCAUCGUUCAUCUGUCAGUCACAUCCAUCGAUCGUCACAUCUCAUUAUUUCACCUUAACUUUCUCUCUCUUCAUUAAAUUUUACCACUUGGUACAAAUCUAAUGGUCACCAUUUUCUAUAAAUAGGGACUCCCACU